rnacentral:lncRNA from 1 species
CAGAUGCUUUGUCUUUUGCAGGCUUCCUUAAGCUAACGCCUAGGAGUAGAAGGGAAACUGACUGACUUCUAAGCUGCACUUGGUUCAGACUUUGGAAGCCCACUGCAAGAGCUCAAGCACAAUAUAUCCCAUUACAACAAAAGAAAUGAUAUAUUAAGGAAGAUGAGUAAUCUUGGAUCACAAAAGAAUGGAAUUGAAGAGGAAGUGAAUUUCAGGAGAAAGGUUUGUUCUUGAAAAAUGUCCUUCUAUUUUUCUUCUGAGUUUGCAUCUCCAGGGCCACAUUAAGUCAAGACAUAUUAAGGGUAUACUAUGUGCCAGGCAUUGUGCGAAUUAGCGGGGCCACAAAGAAAAGCAAAAAUACAGUUCCCAAUUUUCCAGUGGGGGAGAUGACAUGUAGAAGUCUAAGCAGAUUCAAAUUGUAGCCAGAAGAGACAGAAGACAUCAGCAGGUGAGGGUGAAGCAGGAAAGACCUGGAGUUGUCAAUAUUUGAGCUGAGUAUUGAAGGAAGUCAGGGAAUUCAGAGACGGAGGUAAAAAGGGGUAGACAAUGCACUGAAAAAGGAGUUGGAAGGAAAGGAAUAGACUGAAGAACUAAUGCCAAACAAAGGAACUUAUGCUUAAUCCUGGAGGUAAUAGGAACCAAUAGAGCUUAUUUAGGAGCAGGGUGACAUAGUCAGAUUUAUGCUUUAGAAAAAUGAACUC